rnacentral:rRNA from 1 species
AUUGAACGCUGGCGGCAGGCCUAACACAUGCAAGUCGAACGAGUGGCGGACGGGUGAGUAAUGUCUGGGAAACUGCCUGAUGGAGGGGGAUAACUACUGGAAACGGUAGCUAAUACCGCAUACCAUCGGAUGUGCACAGAUGGGAUUAGCUAGUAGGUGGGGUAAAGGCUCACCUAGGCGACGAUCCCUAGCUGGUCUGAGAGGAUGACCCGCCCCACUGGAACGUAGCCACGGUCCCGACUCCGACGUGAGGCCGCAGUGGUGAAUAUUUCCCAAUGUGCGCAAGCCUGGUGCAGCCAUGCCUCGUGUAUGCAGAAGGCCUUCCGGUUGUAAAGUCCUUUCAUCGGGGAGGCGUUACCCGCAGAAGAAGCACCGGCUAACUCCGUGCCAGCAGCCGCGUUAAUUC